AUCUAUUCUGGAGAACUUCCCAUGUGUGCUCAAAAGGAAUGUGUAUGCUGCUGUUUUAGGAGAGAAUGUUCUGAGUACAUCUGUUAAGUCCAUUCACUCCUGCGUGUCAUCCAAAGCCACUGUUUCCUUGUUGAUUUUCUGCUUAGAUGAUCUGUCCAUUAAUGUAAGUGGGGAGAUAAGGGUUACUG